rnacentral:snRNA from 1 species
GUGCUCACUUUGGCAGCACAUAUAUUAGAAUUGGAACAAUACAGAGAUUAGCAUGACCCUGCACAAGGAUGACACACAAAUUCAUGGUGUUAGCUUGAUAGCGCCUUUCU